GCGGCGGACGGGUGAGUAAUACCUAGGAAUCUGCCUAGUAGUGGGGGAUAACUUGCCGAAAGGUAAGCUAAUACCGCAUACGUCCUACGGGAGAAAGCAGGGGAGCCUUCGGGUCCUUGCGCUAUUAGAUGAGCCUAGGUCGGAUUAGCUAGUUGGUGAGGUAAUGGCUCACCAAGGCUGCGAUCCGUAACUGGUCUGAGAGGAUGAUCAGUCACACUGGAACUGAGACACGGUCCAGACUCCUACGGGAGGCAGCAGUGGGGAAUAUUGGACAAUGGGCGGAAGCCUGAUCCAGCCAUGCCGCGUGUGAAGAAGGCCUUCGGGUUGUAAAGCACUUUAAUUUGGGAGGAAGGGCUUACGGUUAAUACCCGCUAAGUUUUGACGUUACCAAAAGAAUAAGCACCGGCUAACUUCGUGCCAGCAGCCGCGGUAAUACGAAGGGUGCGAGCGUUAAUCGGAAUUACUGGGCGUAAAGCGCGCGUAGGUGGUUCGUUAAGUUAGGAGUGAAAGCCCCGG
rnacentral:rRNA from 1 species